rnacentral:lncRNA from 1 species
UUCCUACAGAUGACUUGAACAGCAAAGACCCAAAGACCCACGAGUUACUGAAGGCCGAGCUGAGACUGCUUCCCCUCAGCACUAAGAUGGACCCUUUGCUUUGCCUACGAAAACCAGCAGCUAGAACGUGCAGUUUGGGAGAUGUUGUGUCAAGAAGUCAGACUUUUGAGAUGCUUAGAAAAGGUAGAGAGUCCAGGCCAGAAGAGGAAGGAUCGCCACGACAACGACGGGUAACUGUGGGUAAGAACUAUGAAAAGUAACUUCGGUAUCUUGCCUCUUGGUGUUCUCAUUUAAGCAGCAGAUAUGUAUCAGAA